GAUGAACGCUGGCGGCGUGCCUAAUACAUGCAAGUCGAGCGAACAGACGAGGAGCUUGCUCCUCUGACGUUAGCGGCGGACGGGUGAGUAACACGUGGAUAACCUACCUAUAAGACUGGGAUAACUUCGGGAAACCGGAGCUAAUACCGGAUAAUAUAUUGAACCGCAUGGUUCAAUAGUGAAAGACGGUUUUGCUGUCACUUAUAGAUGGAUCCGCGCCGCAUUAGCUAGUUGGUAAGGUAACGGCUUACCAAGGCAACGAUGCGUAGCCGACCUGAGAGGGUGAUCGGCCACAUGGGAACUGAGACACGGUCCAGACUCCUACGGGAGGCAGCAGUAGGGAAUCUUCCGCAAUGGGCGAAAGCCUUGCGGAGCAACGCCGCGCGAGUGAUGAAGGUCUUCGGAUCGUAAUACUCUGUUAUUAGGGAAGAACAAAUGUGUAAGUAACUAUGCACGUCUUGACGGUACCUAAUCAGAAAGCCACGGCUAACUACGUG
rnacentral:rRNA from 1 species